CACUAGGUGACUGAAAGUAAGUAUAGAUCUUUUAAAUCUGUAAUAGAUAAAGUAACGUUAUCUCCUAGUGA
rnacentral:tRNA from 1 species